rnacentral:rRNA from 1 species
AUUGAACGCUGGCGGCAUGCCUUACACAUGCAAGUCGAACGGUAACGCGGGGCAACCUGGCGACGAGUGGCGAACGGGUGAGUAAUGCAUCGGAACGUGCCCAGUAGUGGGGGAUAGCCCGGCGAAAGCCGGAUUAAUACCGCAUACGACCUAUGGGUGAAAGCGGGGGAUCGCAAGACCUCGCGCUAUUGGAGCGGCCGAUGUCAGAUUAGGUAGUUGGUGGGGUAAAGGCCUACCAAGCCUACGAUCUGUAGCUGGUCUGAGAGGACGACCAGCCACACUGGGACUGAGACACGGCCCAGACUCCUACGGGAGGCAGCAGUGGGGAAUUUCGGACAAUGGGCGCAAGCCUGAUCCAGCCAUGCCGCGUGCGGGAAGAAGGCCUUCGGGUUGUAAACCGCUUUUGUCAGGGAAGAAGUCUUCUGAGCUAAUACCUCGGGAGGAUGACGGUACCUGAAGAAUAAGCACCGGCUAACUACGUGCCAGCCGCCGCAGUAACAC